UGGUGGAGUGAUUUGUCUGGUUAAUUCCGUUAACGAACGAGACCUCGACCUGCUAAAUAGAAAUCCCAAUUCAAUUUCUAUUGAUUGGCGAUGUUCUUCUUAGAGGGACUAUCGGUGCGUAGCCGAUGGAAGUUCGAGGCAAUAACA
rnacentral:rRNA from 1 species